CAGAGGGGGCAAGCGUUGUCCGGACUGACGUGGGCGUAAAGCGCGCGCAGGCGGUCUGAGGCGUCGGUGCUGAAAGUCCACCGCUUAACGGUGGGAAGCGCGCCGAUACGCUCAGACUGGAGGGCGGGCGAGGGUGGUGGAAUUGCCGGUGUAGUGGUGAAAUGCGUAGAGAUCGGCAGGAACACCAGUGGCGAAGGCGGCCACCUAGCCCGCACCUGACGCUGAGGCGCGACAGCGUGGGGAGUGAACUGGAUUAGAUACCCAGGUAAUCCACGCCGUAAACGAUGCCGACUCGGUCUUCGUGGGGCGAAUAGCCCUGGGGGGCCCGAGCUCACGCGCUAAGUCGGCCGCCUGGGGACUACGAGCGCAAGCUUA
rnacentral:rRNA from 1 species